CUUGACAGUGAUGUCCAACAUAAAUAAUCAGAACCUACUGAAAUUUAUUCUCACAUUCUCAUUCCAUUAAGAUGGAAUGUACAAAGUGAUCAUAUUACACCGACACAACCUUUAUAAUACAAGGCGUACAUGGUGAGCAAAUUGCCUCUGUGACCAUAAGAGUACAGAUAUCAGCUUAAAAAGAUGCCAGAAAUCACAAUGCUAUGCCUGAAUUAGCAAGAACUUCAUCAGGGAACAUUUCACUGCCAUUACACAUCAUAUACAAGGUGGGAUUUCUGAUCAAAAUCAAUAAGAAAGGUGCGAAUUUCCAUCGGGGCAAGUUCAACAACCAGUUUUGCAGGAUCAACAGGUCCACCCCUCGGCAAUGGUUCUUGUAUAACUGAGCCUUCAACUUUCCAGACAAGUCUCUUCUUUUCCAAUUCUGUUCUUUCUUGAUUGGCAGAUAGGCUCAUUUCUGUCACUUUGUGAAUCUUCUUGCCAGGAAACAACUUCUUCAGUUCUACACUUGUCAUCACAGAAUAAUUAUUGUCCUCUCCAAUCUGAUAUAAGUGUGCUAAACGAAGUAGAACUUUUCCAUUAUCAAGCUCCUGGAGAGUUAUAACUGCAACAGUAUCAGGUAAACUAUAGGAGGAAUCAAUGCCUGAGAAAGUGGUUACAUGAGAAUUCAACCAGUUAUCUCCAUCCUCUUCAGCAAAGGCCAGCAAGAGAGGUGAAUAUAUCUCCUGGCCAAAAGUACGACGCCAGUUAGCACCUUCUCCUAAAGGAUCAAUUCUGAAAUAAUAUUUUCCUUGGAUUAUUAAUCCUUUACAUUGAUCAAGAACACAAACUGUUUCAUUCAAAGCCUCUGCAACACCCCUGGAAUCGUCAAGUAGCAGUCUCCGAUGGAGCAUCAGCUCUAUUUGUCCAUCCACUAAGCUAGAUCCUCCAAGAGCUCGAUCCACCAGAACUGAAAAUUCUUUCUUAUCAUCUUUGGUGUAAAUUCCAAGAUUAAUCUGAAUGCACAAAUAUGAUGAAAAUUGGAUAUUAAAUGAGAGCAAAUCUAAAUGCUCACUGAAAGUUAAGUGACUUAUCAUUGGCUAGGACAUAGAAAUAGUGAAAAUUUCUUACAGCAAUACAAGACAAGUUAAAAACAAUAGCAAAAUUUCACACACAACUGCCAACUUUCUUCCUCAGUACUUACAGUUUCCCUUUACGAUUUAAAAGAUAGUCUUGAUGUUGAUACGCCUACGCAAAACAUUUUCUUUUAGAGAAACAUACCGGAUAGUAAUUUCCAGCAGCUGGUUGGUUCACUUCCAGGUCCCAAUCUGUCCUAUAAUCACGAAUUCUUUUGAUAAAAUCACGUCCAUUAGAAUCUGUAUAGAAUGUUUUGUUGGUCCCCAUUGUAGUUGUAAUCUGUGUUGCAACUUCUUUUCCAAUUCCAUCAUCAAUGGGUAUAGGCCCAACAAAAAAUUCAACUUCAACAUGCUCUUUCCCCUUGUAUAAUCUGGUGAUCUGAUAUAUCCAUUGAUUGAUCUGUUGAUGUACUUCUUCUACUAUAGGCCCACGCAUGAUAGUCAAUGGAAUCUGUCCUUCAGGCUUUAUGAGAAAUGUCCCAUUGGGUCGGAAGAUAUAUGCUCCAGCAUUCUGUGGAUCUUUAUCAUUUCCAGUUCCAUUAUAUCCAGUAUAAAAACUGAAUGACUGUUCAACCAAGUCCUCAACUAAGCUUCUGCUAUUAAUAUAAUUAGCUUUUUUGCUUUCAUCUGCCAAAAAAGUAAGCUUCAAAUUUCCUUGACCAACUUCUAUAGUAGAUUGAUCUCUUGUUUGAAAUGUGUAUGUGGAUGAUUUGGUUGAAUAAGCGCCUGCACUUUUGGAACCUGAGAUUGUGUAAGUGCUGAAGCCAAAAGGUGGAACAGAGACCGUAAAUGCAAGCCAAUACUUCGGUGUAUCCAUUGGCCGUUUACCCAAGUAUGCCUGAACAUAGGAGUUCCUUAGGGCCACAUAAACAUCUGCUAGAGGAAGAAGUUGUGAUUCAAUUUCUCUUCCUACAGAAUCUUUGACGUUGACAUUUUCAUUAAUAACAGGAAUUCUUAUGACAUUCUCUCUUUUCCAUCCCAGAGAAUUGUAGACAACCACCACCAGGCCUUUUCCAUUUGAAAGAUCAACUUCUGAUCCAGGACAGUAACUUAUAUUCAGCAGGGGACACUGUUGAAACUUGAUAGUUGUAUUUGCACAACCAGUUUUUGACUUAGACUCUGCUAUGCACGACAGCGAUGCUCCAACUACCUUCUCAGCCUCCUUGUAUCCUAUUGACAGCCGUUUUGCAUAAUCAUCAGCCACGUGCUGCUUCUCUGUUCCACUAACUGCAUCAUGAUGUUGA
rnacentral:misc_RNA from 1 species